UCCCUCCCAACCCAAACCAUUAUGUGAUGAUAACUGACCCUCUUCUUACCAGGACAGCCAUGCUUGUACUCUUGCCAAGUGAGGCAAGUUGAGUUUGAAAAAAUGUUCUGUAAAACUGGGGCAGAACACAAGUGUGCAAUUACUGUGUUUGUUUCAGAUACUACUCAUCCUGGGCAUUAAGAACCUGGAAGUUGACAGGCUUGAAAAUACUGCUUGGUCCACUCAGCAUUGCAGAAAUGAGCAAGAUACAGAAUGAAUAAGAAUGUAGAAAGUCUACCAAAUUUACUGGUAAUAUUACAGGGCUGAAUUGGCAAGUCCUCUAACAGUGAGUAAUGUGCUAUGAAAGUAUAAGGAAAACUUUUUAAUAACUAAAAACAGGUGCAGCAAUUGUGACAUAAAAGAUCUUAUCUGGUAGCCCAUGUAGUGAAUGAACAUCAAGGUAGGUAUUAUUCUUGUUUUUUAGAAGAACUUCUGAUAACGAAAAAUGCUACAUGUAUAAGGCUUUUCUUUAUAAUGUUUCUCAUAUUAGCAGUACUCUGAUGAGUACAAGCAGGUAAGCUAUUUCCAGUUUCCUAAUCAGACAAUAAACCCCAAAAUGUCACAUUCUAGCAAAAGGGCUCCCAUGCCCAGCAGCAGCUGGCAGUGUGUGCUGAGUGUGCCACUACUUGCUGUAGAUGUAGUUCUGAUAGUUGAAAUAGCAAGAAGCUCCCUUUGCAUGGUUUCCAGCUGGCCUGGUCCAUAUCAUAGCCAGAACAGAGUAGAACUUGCUUCACUCUCCCCUUGCUAGAUUGAGGAUGAGGGUAUUGCUCACUUCAAAAUCAAAACCAGGCUUUGGUGCUGGCUUGGAUUUAGAAAAUUUGCUGGGAAUUCCAGGAGAUGUUGAACUUUCUGCAGCUGGACAAAGCAGAAAUACCCUAGUGGUUCUUUGCCUGUGCUAUUCUAAUAAAGGGGCUUUUAUGUUUAAAACUUCCUAUCUAGAGUCAUAAUAUUCUGUGUUGCAGUUCAAAAGAUUGGUUACAAGCCUGAAUUGGAGCUUAUUUAUAAGGAUUUUUUUCAGCAGGUUCACUCUGUAAAAUGUAGUGCUACCUUUUAUAUAUUUCUGUGAAAACAUAUAGAAACCUCAUUUGAAAUUCACAAAGUAUUCAACAUGGCAAAAGCUAUUUCAUAUCUCAUAGAAAUCCAAACCUGGCCACAGCAGUGUUAGAAAUCAUCCCAACCGUGCCAGUAGUUGAUUUAGAUUGGCAUUGGAUUCAGUGAAGGAAACACCCACUGACUGCCAAUGAAACUGAGUGAGAUUUUUCUUUAUAUUUUCUUGUAUUCUGUAAUUUUCCAGGAGCGUAGGGGCAGGUUGUUUAAAUCCUAAGACAUUGUGGACAAGAUGGGCUGAUGUGUAAUGAGGCACCUGGAAAACCUUUGGUUGCUGUGGUGGGUCAGCCACCCAAGGCCAUUCUAUUUUAGCAGGAAUCAUUUCGCUGACACAGCUGAGCUCCUUUGCACGUUUAGCAGAUGCACCUGCCCCCCUGCUUUGCCUAAAGACGAGCACCUACGCUUACGUAUUGAUACAAGGGAGUUAUUUAUAAAGGUAAGGGGGACACCUCCCUAGGCAGCAGAGAAUGGCACACGCUGCUCAAAGCCAGCUUCACCAUCCUUAUUUGAAACUGUCAGGCACAGCAGCUUUUUUUGCUGGCAGACGAUCGCGGUGCAGCUGAGCUCCGGCCUGGCACAGCUGCAGGUACUUUGUGGAAGUUUAAUUCCUCCCCUCAGGUGUGAGGUGUUCUCGGCUGAGGCGAGCGCGGGCUCAGCAGCGCGGCCGGGAUUAGGCUCCCGCAGGAAAUCAUAUGAGGUGAAAUCAGCUGAAAUCUUAAAGCUUCCACCUGUUGCACCUGCUGCUGAAUAUGCAAACUGCCCUAAAGGUCUCAGCAGUCUACUGAAAAUGCUUUGCUGAAAGCACCAGGCACCAGGGGAUUUCUGGGCCAGGAUAAUAGACAGACUGAGGACAUUGUCACCUUGGUGUGAGGAAAGCUGUCUAAGCAGAAUUGAGUGACUCUAGGAGCACUUGUUGAGCUUGAUGUUCAUGCUGAGGAUGUUCUUUCAUCUCUAGUAAGCAAAAAAGGCAAAGAUGAGAGUGACUUUGAAUGGUUAAGUCAGCUUAGGUCCUACUGGGAGCAAAAAAAUCUGCAGCGGGCAGAACAAUUUAAUGGUGGCCUUGAGGGUGAGAAAAGUUGCUGGCAUGAGACUGCUUUGGAGCUGGGAAUGCAGGACAUCAACUCAACUGGAAGACACUCAUUCCAUCAGGCAUUGCAGCUUACCUAGCAGCCUUUACAUCCAGCUAGA